rnacentral:rRNA from 1 species
CCUACGGGCGGCAGCAGUGAGGAAUAUUGGUCAAUGGACGAGAGUCUGAACCAGCCAAGUAGCGUGAAGGAUGACUGCCCUAUGGGUUGUAAACUUCUUUUAUAUGGGAAUAAAAUGUUCCACGUGUGGGAUUUUGUAUGUACCAUAUGAAUAAGGAUCGGCUAACUCCGUGCCAGCAGCCGCGGUAAUACGGAGGAUCCGAGCGUUAUCCGGAUUUAUUGGGUUUAAAGGGAGCGUAGGUGGAUUGUUAAGUGAGUUGUGAAAGUUUGCGGCUCAACCAUAAAAUUGCAGCUGAAACUGGCAGUCUUGAGUGCAGGAGAGGUGGGCGGAAUUCGUGGUGUAGCGGUGAAAUGCUUAGAUAUCACGAAGAACUCCGAUUGCGAAGGCAGUUCACUGGACUGCAACUGACACUGAGGCUCGAAAGUGUGGGUAUCAAACAGGAUUAGAUACCCUUGUAGUC